GGUUGACCUCGGAUCAGGUACGAAUACCCGCUGAACUUAAGCAUAU
rnacentral:rRNA from 1 species